CAAGGCUUGGCCAAUUUAUAAUGGAGCAGUACACAACGCAGCAGCGAACAAAAAUCAUAGAAUUUUACUAUCAAAAUCACAGGUCUGUUACUUUAACUCGGCGAGCAUAUCGGCGAUAUUUCAAUGUGCGGAAUCUGCCCUCUGCAGCAACAAUAAACCGCCUGGCAUUUUGCACGUGAUUUCUUACAGUAUUAUCAACGGAAAAUCAACUCAUUUUGUAAAACUCAACAAAACCUGAAAGAGAUUGCAAACCAACAUUUUAAACUUCAUAAGAUUGAGAUAUAGCAAAUUGUAACACGUUCCAGUUCUGUUUACAUUGGAGAUUAUUUGUUGACCAGCCUAUUCAUUGAGUCAUUGUGGAAGACAUACGAACUGUGUUUUUGAUGUGGACUAUACCUGAUAUUGAUUUCAUCUUAUAUUUGAAAACCAUUUUGAACACACUUAUGUAAAUGGAGAUAUUCCAAUAGAAAUAUGCAAAAAAUAUUCCCACAACUUAUACCGUUUAGAAGAAAAACGAGUAGAAAACAUGCUGUACCAGCUAUGCUGUGCCAGAAUAGAAAAAAUUUGUCGCUAUCUCUUUGCGUUCAAGGAAUUUGGAAAAAUGUUUAUAAUCUCGAUAUAUAUAACGGUAUUUAUGAAAGAAAUGUCAUUUUUAGGAUUUUGAGGUAUUAUAGCUUUUAGAGAGGAGAAAUACAUAAGUAAAAAUUUUCUUCUGGAAAAAUAGAUACUACAACAAAAACUCAAAUUGCCAUAACUAUAAAAUAUUCUUAAAAAAGUUACAAAAUGUAGAAAUACACUAAUUUUAUAAAGAAUAAAAUC